CGCUGUUGCUGUUAAAGGGUUCGUAGUUGAAUUGUGGAGUAUGGCCACGGGAUUCAGUCCCUUUCCCACGGUCUAGGAACGUCCCGACCAUACUCCGAGAACGUCAGAAACUAAGAUCACGGAAGCGUUUUUUACAAACUGCCACCGACUACGCGAGCAAUGUUCGCUGGUGGACGUCCGUGUUUUUUACUGUGACUAAAGAAGUGCGACCAAGGCAGUCCAUCGACAUGAAUUAGAAAGCAUGGGAUAACAAGGCAGCAGCCUAUGAGCUACCGUUUAGGCUUUUGUUGGUUUUAAAGGUUCGUGGGAGAUUACGGGCGUGUAGGACCGGCGUUGGGGGUUUUCCAAAAUCCCCGCGUCUCCUCCUGGCAUCGGAAACGGUGCUUGCGGGRCCUGCUUCGCUCAGGAAUGAAGGAGGKUGCUCGGGGGAAAACGUACUUGGGCGUGA
rnacentral:rRNA from 1 species